CUACGGGCUGCACCAGGCGAGAAAACUUUGCAAUGUGCGAAAGCACGACAAGGUUAAUCCGAGUGGUUUGUGCUAAACGAACCUUUUGACAGUCCUAGAAACACUGUUGAAUAAGGGGUGGGCAAGUUCUGGUGUCAGCCGCCGCGGUAAAACCAGCACCUCAAGUGGUCAGGAUGAUUAUUGGGCCUAAAGCAUCCGUAGCCGGCUCUGUAAGUUUUCGGUUGAAUCUGUACGCUCAACGUACAGGCUGCCGGGAAUACUGCAGAGCUAGGGAGUGGGAGAGGUAGACGGUACUCGGUAGGAAGGGGUAAAAUCCUUUGAUCUAUUGAUGACCACCUGUGGCGAAGGCGGUCUACCAGAACACGUCCGACGGUGAGGGAUGAAAGCUGGGGGAGCAAACCGGAUUAGAUACCCUGGUAGUC
rnacentral:rRNA from 1 species